rnacentral:rRNA from 1 species
ACUCCUACGGGAGGCAGCAGUGGGGAAUAUUGCACAAUGGGCGCAAGCCUGAUGCAGCCAUGCCGCGUGUCAGAUGAAGGUCCUCUGGAUUGUAAAUGACUUUUCUACGGGAAGAAUGAGCCGUCUGCGGACGGAAGUUGACGGUACCGUAGGAAUAAGCACCGGCUAACUACGUGCCAGCAGCCGCGGUAAUACGUAGGGUGCAAGCGUUGUCCGGAUUUACUGGGUUUAAAGGGGUACGUAGGCGGUUGUGCCAAGUCUGGGGUGAAAGUUUGCAGCUCAACUGUAAAAUUGCCUUGGAUACUGGUCGGCUAGAGUAGUGGAGCGGUGGCUGGAAUUUAUAGUGUAGCGGUGAAAUGCUUAGAUACUAUGAGGAACACCAAUUGCGAAGGCAGGUCACUGGUCACUAACUGACGCUGAGGUACGAAAGUGUGGGGAUCAAACAGGAUUAGAUACCCUGGUAGGAUAGCG